rnacentral:rRNA from 1 species
GAUGAACGCUAGCGGCAGGCCUAACACAUGCAAGUCGAGGGAGAAGCCCUUCGGGGCAGAAACCGGCGCACGGGUGCGUAACGCGUAUGCAACCUACCUUUCACAGGGGGAUAGCCCGAAGAAAUUUGGAUUAAUACCCCAUAAUAUUAUUGGGUGGCAUCAUCUGAUAAUUAAAAUUACGAUGGUGAAAGAUGGGCAUGCGUCCUAUUAGCUAGUUGGAGUGGUAACGGCACCCCAAGGCUACGAUAGGUAGGGGUCCUGAGAGGGAGAUCCCCCACACUGGUACUGAGACAGGGACCAGACUCCUACGGGAGGCAGCAGUGAGGAAUAUUGGUCAAUGGUCGGAAGACUGAACCAGCCAUGCCGCGUGCAGGAAGAAUGCCUUAUGGGUUGUAAACUGCUUUUAUAUGGGAAGAAUAAGGAGUACGUGUACUUGAUGACGGUACCAUAUGAUUAAGC